UUUACCUCCACUGUAAAGAACUAUUGGUGACAAAACAUUUCGGGAUAUAAUCUCAGAGCUACGCCACAUCCUGCUACCUUGAUCUAUCGAAGACGCCAGUGCAGGGACAACCCGGCUCAAUACUAAUUAAAAUAAAUGAACAUUUACGUCGUCACAGCAGGUGGAUGUGAGGGCGAGAGGCCAGGAGUCCGGGCGAAAGAUUAGGUGACGAGCCCGGGCCAACGGAGACAUCAUUAAAAUGCAUGGUUCAAACGCAUUUGCAGCUAGCGAAAUCCUUAGCAAUGCCAUACAUCAAUUCAUGGCAUACUUGAAAUGCAAAUGUCUUGGCAGUAAACUCUGAUCAAUGCCCGCGCGGAUAUGCGUGCGAACCAAUAAAUCAAGUCAAAGCCAGAGAGGCGAGCCAGCCCCCAGUUGCCAUUCAAGGAUGAAGUCAAGAUAGCAACCACACACACUCACACACGCGAGAAGCACUCGCAAGGACUCAAACCCAAACACACACACAUACACACACACUCCCAUAUGCGACAAGUUGGCGGCCACAAUCUUGGAUUUAUACGGCUUCGAGUGGCUUCGGUGGCUAAGAGGAAAAUAGGUAGGUGGCAGGAGGCGGGGCACUCAAGUUGCCUUUGGCCUAUUUAAAAAUUAAAAUUGUGUAAAUUUUUAAUGCCAACCAACGCGAGUUAUUAGCCCAGCUUGAUAGCUAGCCGAGCACCACCUGAAUAUCCUGCUAAUCGACUGCCAACCGCGAUGAUUACAAAAAUUUCCACUUGGCCGCGUAUUUUCCUGAUUAAUUCUGGGCCGAUAUAAAAUGCGUACCAUGAAUAUUUCAUACCACAAAGCGCCAGCAGAGGAAUAAAAAAAAACGAGAUACAAAAAGUGGUUAAGCAAAGGGCAUAGCAAGUAAAACGAAGCUUACUUUAUACAAUUGGCAACCGCAAACAAAGUGAAUUUCGUUUUUGUUUGCGGCCACAGACGUGUCAGUUUGGACACAUGAAUGAUGAAUUAUAUUCGGUGGUCAAUUUGGGAUCCAUAUUUCACAGCGCGCCAAUAAAAUAUACCCCCAACAAUCCCGAUGGCCUCGACCGGAGGCACACAACAUUUUUGGAACCGCCGAGAAGUUUACAAAGCCGAUCAAAACUUUCUGAAGUGUCCCGAAGUCCUUAUUCAUUAACCGAUCGUUCGAACCUACUG
rnacentral:sRNA from 1 species